rnacentral:rRNA from 1 species
AAAGAUUAAGCCAUGCAGGUCUCAGUGCAAGCCGAAUUAAGGUGAAACCGCGAAAAGCUCAUUAAAUCAGCUAUGGUUCCUUAGAUGGUACGUACAGUUACUUGGAUAACUGUGGCAAUUCUAGAGCUAAUACAUGCAAACCGAGUUCCGACCGCUUAGCAGGCGGAAGGAAUGCUUUUAUUAGAUCAAAACCAAUCGAACUCUACACGUAUGGGUUCGUUUAAGUCUUGGUGACUCUGAAUAACUUUGUGCUGAUCGCACGGUCCCGCACCGGCGACGCAUCUUUCAAAUGUCUGACUUAUCAACUUUCGAUGGUAAGCUCUGCGCCUACCAUGGUCGUAACGGGUAACGGGGAAUCAGGGUUCGAUUCCGGAGAGGGAGCCUGAGAAACGGCUACCACAUCCAAGGAAGGCAGCAGGCGCGCAAAUUACCCACUCCCGGCACGGGGAGGUAGUGACGAAAAAUAACGAUGCAGAACUCUUUCCGAGGCUCUGCAAUCGGAAUGAGAACACUCUAAAUCAUUUAACGAGUAUCCAUUGGAGGGCAAGUCUGGUGCCAGCAGCCGCGGUAAUUCCAGCUCCAAUAGCGUAUAUUAAAGUUGUUGCGGCUAAAAAGCUCGUAGUUGGACUUGUGUUCCGCGAUGUCGGUUCACCGCCCGUCGGUGUUUAACUGACAUGCCGCGGCACGUCCUGCCGGUUGGCGGAGCGGGGGCGGCUCCCGCGCGAAAAGACAAGCGCGCAGGUCUUCCGAUUCGAUUCGGGCACUCGCGUUAAACGUCGGUCUCGCGGAUUUCUCUUUAACCGGAGACUCCGCUGCCGAGUUUGCCGAGUUCGCCCAUUCGAUCGGUUUGCGAACUCCGUUCGGGAUCUGCGGUCAAGCCCUUUCCGGUCAUGCGGUCCGCUUCGGCUUUCGACCCUUCGAAAAGGGAAGCAAAGUUAACGAAGGAUGGAAUUUGGGUUGUCGUCGUUUGGGAACCGGAAUUCGCGUCUUCCCUUCGCGCUCAAGUUCUUCCCGAGUUCUUUCUUUCCGGUCGACGAGUUCGAUCCGCGUCCGUCAGUUUUUUGUCAAUCCUGUCGCGGUGCUCUUUGCCGAGUGUCGCGGCGGGCCGGCACGUUUACUUUGAACAAAUUUGAGUGCUUCAAGCAGGCCGUCGGCCGCCGGAAAAUCGUGUGCAUGGAAUAAUGGAAUAGGGCCACGGUUCUAUUUUGUUGGUUUCCGGAAUCCGAGGCAAUGAUUAAUAGGGACAGGCGGGGGCAUUAGUAUUCCGACGUUAGAGGUGAAAUUCUUGGAUCGUCGGAAGACUGACCUAAGCGAAAGCAUUUGCCAAGGAUGCUUCCUUUAAUCAAGAACGAAAGUUAGAGGUUCGAAGGCGAUCAGAUACCGCCCUAGUUCUAACCGUAAACGAUGCCAGCUAGCGAUCCGUCGAAGUUCUAACGAUGACUCGACGGGCAGCUCCCGGGAAACCAAAGCUUUUGGGUUCCGGGGGAAGUAUGGUUGCAAAGCUGAAACUUAAAGGAAUUGACGGAAGGGCACCACCAGGAGUGGAGCUUGCGGCUUAAUUUGACUCAACACGGGAAACCUCACCAGGCCCGGACACUGGAAGGAUUGACAGAUUGAGAGCUCUUUCUUGAUUCAGUGGGUGGUGGUGCAUGGCCGUUCUUAGUUGGUGGAGCGAUUUGUCUGGUUAAUUCCGAUAACGAACGAGACUCUAGCCUGUUAACUAGGCGAACACAAUUCCGGCAUCGUUAAUUCUCCUGCGGGGGAACAAAAAGCUGCCGGCGGCAUAAUUUCUUCUUAGAGGGACAGGCGGCUUCUACCCGCACGAGAUUGAGCAAUAACAGGUCUGUGAUGCCCUUAGAUGUUCUGGGCCGCACGCGUGCUACACUGAAGGAAUCAACGUGUUUACACGUCCCGGGCCGAAAGGUCCGGGAAACCCGUUGAACCUCCUUCGUGCUAGGAAUUGGGACUUGCAAUUGUUUCCCAUGAACGAGGAAUUCCCAGUAAGCGCGAGUCAUAAGCUCGCGUUGAUUACGUCCCUGCCCUUUGUACACACCGCCCGUCGCUACUACCGAUUGAACGAUUUAGUGAGGUCUUCGGACCUGUGCGCGGGAGUCGCUUCUCGGCUACUUCCGCUGCCGCGGGAAAGACGACCGAACUUGAUCGUUUAAAGGAAGUAAAAGUCGUAACAAGGUU